AAAAGUAUGCUAUAAUGUAACUGAACAUUUUCUUAGGAUUUGGCUGAAAAUGAAGGUUCUUACUCUCUCGGACGUUUCGUUUCUGUGUCUUGUUGUGUUGUGUGUUUUGGAUUGUUUGUUCUUUAAUGCUUUUCUUGGAUCAAACGAAUGGUUCAGAUUCUUUGCUCUCGUAAUCUUUAUUCUCGUUUAUGUUGACUUAAAGUUAAAUGUAUUAGCUGAGAUUAGAGCUCGG
rnacentral:lncRNA from 1 species